CAACGCCGCGUGAGGGAUGACGGCCUUCGGGUUGUAAACCUCUUUUAGCAGGGAAGAAGCGAAAGUGACGGUACCUGCAGAAAAAGCGCCGGCUAACUACGUGCCAGCAGCCGCGGUAAUACGUAGGGCGCAAGCGUUAUCCGGAAUUAUUGGGCGUAAAGAGCUCGUAGGCGGUUUGUCGCGUCUGCUGUGAAAUCCCGAGGCUCAACCUCGGGUCUGCAGUGGGUACGGGCAGACUAGAGUGCGGUAGGGGAGAUUGGAAUUCCUGGUGUAGCGGUGGAAUGCGCAGAUAUCAGGAGGAACACCGAUGGCGAAGGCAGAUCUCUGGGCCGUAACUGACGCUGAGGAGCGAAAGGGUGGGGAGCAAACAGGCUUAGAUACCCUGGUAGUCCACCCCGUAAACGUUGGGAACUAGUUGUGGGGUCCAUUCCACGGAUUCCGUGACGCAGCUAACGCAUUAAGUUCCCCGCCUGGGGAGUACGGCCGCAAGGCUAAAACUCAAAUGAAUUGACGGA
rnacentral:rRNA from 1 species